AGAUUCCAAAUGGUUCAUCCUCCAGCGUUUAAUAUUUUGCUUUCUUCGUUGGUAAGUUGACACCGAGCCAAAGCACUUGUCGCGAGGCCAAACACGCGAGAUGUCAUGGAAACCGAGUUAAACGCGUUGUAAUGCCGCGACGGUACAGGAGGAAAGAUCAGAGAGAACGUAGAGCCGUGAUUUUAAACCCCUAAUAACGCGACUAAUCCCAUUACAAUGUUACCAAGGCAGAGCGAAGAGGAGCGUGCCCCGGAACUCGUAUUAAAAAUCAGGCAUAUGUCCGGCGGAUCCGGCUGAUUCGAAGGGUUGCCGCACCCUCCACGCCAGGGGUUGGAACCGCGCCACCCUUCCUACGCCACGCCGAAUAUCGCAAACAAAGUUAGAGGGACCCCGGACCCCUCCUUUAACCACCCCAUUGGCUGGCUCUUUUAUUUGGGGCGUAUCCCAUCCCCGAGAAGUUGGAGGGCAACCAGCUACGGCUUCGUAUCCCAUUGAAGAAAGAUAAAAGAGAAGAAUAGCCUAUAUUUUGACUAGAUUCUUCGAUUCUCUGUAGAUAGAAAAUGGAUAUUAAUGGACUGCGAGUGUCUAUGCAUUCAAUUUUCAACGAGGGUGCUUUUGUGCAAAUAU